UGACAGUGAGUUGAAAACCAUCCAACAAAUCUCAGCCCUUCAAACUCUCUCCUCAUUCAAUCUCAGCCGGAAUAACUCAGCAUUUACGGUUAAUCAGAGUUCCCUUCCUUCUUCUGGUCGUCCGCACGUUUCCUCCUCCCCCACAUUCACAGUCGGUUGCUCAUGCCUAUAUAAGAGUAUUGAUUGAAUGUAAUUUGUUCAAUUCAUUCAAUGCUUCAUCCCAAAGAAGCCUAAAUAUGCGUCUUUCAAAUCUUUGAACUCAAGAACGAAUUGUGGGCACAUACUUUAUGGAUUUCUCAUGCAUCCGAUUAGUUAUGUAGUUUAUUAUCCAAGUGGGCAAAUACAUAAGAAAAAGGAGAAGAAAAAAAAUAAGUUGAAGAUGUUCACUUCAUUGAAGGAUGUAGAUAAAGAAGAAUCCAUGGCUCCAUUACAAGUCUGUGCAGGUAAAGCACUUUAGAUCUGAAUCGCACCACUGAAGGUAUGGGACACAAGCCGGUCAUUUUGAUAGCUAUAUAUAUAUUCGUGGAUAUUAUUGAGUCCUUCACUUCUGAAGGUAAAUAAUCCAAGUUUUGGUAUUUUAUUUUGAUAUUUUUGCUCCUCGGUUGUGUGAUUUCCCUAACUGAAGUUACGAUAUAAAUAAUGCAAUUGCUUCUAGGAAAA